GAUGAACGCUGGCGGCGUGCCUAAUACAUGCAAGUCGAGCGAACGGAUGAGAAGUUUGCUUCUAUGAUGUUAGCGGCGGAUGGGUGAGUAACACGUGGAUAACCUACCUAUAAGACUGGGAUAACUACGGGAAACCGGAUCUAAUAUCGGAUAAUAUUUUGAACGGCAUGGUUCAAACGUGAAAGCCGUUCUUGAUGACCCUUAAAGAUGGACCCGCGUUGCAUUCGUUAGUUGGUACGGUAACGGCUUACCAAGGCAACGAUGCAUAGCCGACCUGAGAGGGUGAUCAGCCACACUGGAACUGAGACACGGUCCAGACUCCUACGGGAGGCAGCAGUAGGGAAUCUUCCGCAAUGGGCGAAAGCCUGACGGAGCAAAGCCGCGUGAGUGAUGAAGGUCUUCUGAUCGUAAAACUCUGUUAGUAGGGAGGAACAUAUGUGUAGGUAACUGUGUACAUCUUGACGGUACCUAAACAGAAAGCCACGGCUAACUACGUG
rnacentral:rRNA from 1 species